GUUUGGAUCUGAAGAUAGGGUCAGAACAGUUUGUUUGAGCCAUCGAUUGUUCUUCGCAAUGGGAGGUGGAACGAUUAAAGUGCACAUGAGCUUCAAUCUAUGAAACUUCAAAUCAAUUUUCCGCGAUUAACCAUACAGUGAAUGAGAUUUGAGGCAACAGUCAUAGGGAUUUGAGGAUUUGAAGUAACCAACGUAGAGGAAUUUGGUGGUGAACGGCAUAAUCAAACUCGAAGGGUUUCGUUUCUUCGUCAUCUUCCCGAACUCGAAGCAAGGACGCCACACUCAAACCUAAAGUUUUAGUUUCUCUGUGUCAAUUAGUUUUUUUUUUUUUAUAAGCUCUGAGUCAAUUAGUUUAGUUUU
rnacentral:lncRNA from 1 species